UACGUAGGGUGCGAGCGUUGUCCGGAAUUACUGGGCGUAAAGAGCUUGUAGGCGGUCCGUCGCGUCGAUUGUGAAAACUUGCAGCUCAACUGCAAGCUUGCAGUCGAUACGGGCGGACUAGAGUACUUCAGGGGAGACUGGAAUUCCUGGUGUAGCGGUGAAAUGCGCAGAUAUCAGGAGGAACACCGGUGGCGAAGGCGGGUCUCUGGGGAAGUAACUGGACGCUGAGAAGCGAAAGCGUGGGUAGCGAACAGG
rnacentral:rRNA from 1 species